rnacentral:rRNA from 1 species
GGCGACGGUUGUCCCGGUUUAAGCAUGUAGGCGGAGGUUCCAGGUAAAUCCGGUACCUUUUUAACGCUGAGGUGUGAUGACGAGGCACUACGGUGCUGAAGUAACAAAUGCCCUGCUUCCAGGAAAAGCCUCUAAGCAUCAGGUAACACGAAAUCGUACCCCAAACCGACACAGGUGGUCAGGUAGAGAAUACCAAGGCGCUUGAGAGAACUCGGGUGAAGGAACUAGGCAAAAUGGUGCCGUAACUUCGGGAGAAGGCACGCUGAUAUGUAGGUGAAGCGGUUUACCCGUGGAGCUGAAAUCAGUCGAAGAUACCAGCUGGCUGCAACUGUUUAUUAAAAACACAGCACUGUGCAAACACGAAAGUGGACGUAUACGGUGUGACGCCUGCCCGGUGCCGGAAGGUUAAUUGAUGGGGUUAUCCGUAAGGAGAAGCUCUUGAUCGAAGCCCCGGUAAACGGCGGCCGUAACUAUAACGGUCCUAAGGUAGCGAAAUUCCUUGUCGGGUAAGUUCCGACCUGCACGAAUGGCGUAAUGAUGGCCAGGCUGUCUCCACCCGAGACUCAGUGAAAUUGAACUCGCUGUGAAGAUGCAGUGUACCCGCGGCAAGACGGAAAGACCCCGUGAACCUUUACUAUAGCUUGACACUGAACACUGGUCCUUGAUGUGUAGGAUAGGUGGGAGGCUUUGAAGUGUGGACGCCAGUCUGCAUGGAGCCAUCCUUGAAAUACCACCCUUUAAUGGCUGGUGUUCUAACGUGGACCCGUUACCCGGGUUGCGGACAGUGUCUGGUGGGUAGUUUGACUGGGGCGGUCUCCUCCUAAAGAGUAACGGAGGAGCACGAAGGUUAGCUAAUCCUGGUCGGACAUCAGGAGGUUAGUGCAAAGGCAUAAGCUAGCUUGACUGCGAGAGUGACGGCUCGAGCAGGUGCGAAAGCAGGUCUUAGUGAUCCGGUGGUUCUGAAUGGAAGGGCCAUCGCUCAACGGAUAAAAGGUACUCCGGGGAUAACAGGCUGAUACCGCCCAAGAGUUCAUAUCGACGGCGGUGUUUGGCACCUCGAUGUCGGCUCAUCACAUCCUGGGGCUGAAGUAGGUCCCAAGGGUAUGGCUGUUCGCCAUUUAAAGUGGUACGCGAGCUGGGUUUAGAACGUCGUGAGACAGUUCGGUCCCUAUCUGCCGUGGGCGCUGGAGAAUUGAGGGGGGCUGCUCCUAGUACGAGAGGACCGGAGUGGACGCAUCACUGGUGUUCGGGUUGUCAUGCCAAUGGCAUUGCCCGGUAGCUAAAUGCGGAAGAGAUAAGUGCUGAAAGCAUCUAAGCACGAAACUUGCCCC